rnacentral:rRNA from 1 species
GAUGAACGCUAGCGGCAGGCCUAAUACAUGCAAGCUGAACGGUAACUUGGGUAGCAAUACUUGAGCUAGAGUAGCGUAAGGGUGCGUAACACGUAUGCAAUCUGCCCGCAACAGGAGGAUAGCUUAGCGAAAGUUGAGAUAAGACUCCAUAAGAUCACACGAGGGCAUCUGAGGGUGAUUAAACUACAAGGGGUUGCGGAUGAGCAUGCGCUGAUUAGUUAGUUGGCGGGGUAACGGCCCACCAAGACGAUGAUCAGUAGGGGAACUGAGAGGUU